ACGGCUAUUUUACGAGGAAACACAGGUUCCCGUCUGAUCACCGAAGUCAAGCUUCGUUGAACUUGGUCAGUACCUGGAUGGGUAACCACUUGUGAUUACCAGGAGCUGUAAG